CAGUCCCAUGCCUUGUGGCUUAAAAGUCACAUCAGGCAGGGUUCUCCAACUGCAUGAGAGAGCAACGUGGAGGGACUUUGACAGCCCAGGUCAAACCGUACCUGCAGCUGCCACUCGCCUUUCCUAUAAAC
rfam:Tupaia chinensis contig15445, whole genome shotgun sequence.